rnacentral:rRNA from 1 species
GACUGGGAUAACCCUGGGAAACUGGGGCUAAUACCGGAUAGGCAAUUAUUCCUGCAAUGGUUUUUUGUUUAAAUGUUUUUUCGCCUAAGGAUGGGUCUGCGGCCGAUUAGGUAGUUGGUUAGGUAAUGGCUUACCAAGCCGUUGAUCGGUACGGGUUGUGAGAGCAAGAGCCCGGAGAUGGAACCUGAGACAAGGUUCCAGGCCCUACGGGGUGCAGCAGGCGCGAAACCUCCGCAAUGUGAGAAAUCGCGACGGGGGGAUCCCAAGUGCCAUUCUUAACGGGAUGGCUUUUCAUUAGUGUAAAAAGCUUUUGGAAUAAGAGCUGGGCAAGACCGGUGCCAGCCGCCGCGGUAACACCGGCAGCUCUAGUGGUAGCAAUUUUUAUUGGGCCUAAAGCGUCCGUAGCCGGUUUAAUAAGUCUCUGGUGAAAUCCUGUAGCUUAACUGUGGGAAUUGCUGGAGAUACUAUUAGACUUGAGACCGGGAGAGGUUAGAGGUACUCCCAGGGUAGAGGUGAAAUUCUGUAAUCCUGGGAGGACCGCCUGUUGCGAAGGCGUCUAACUGGAACGGUUCUGACGGUGAGGGACGAAAGUUAGGGGCGCGAACCGGAUUAGAUACCCGGGUAGUCCUAACUGUAAACGAUGCGGACUUGGUGUUG